rnacentral:sRNA from 1 species
UAAACAGAAGCUAUGACAAUCGGCUGGA